AGGUGUGAGCCACCGUGCCCCGCCUACGGUGUAUAAUUUUUACAGUGUUGAAGAUUCUUAACAUUUUUAUGAUUUUAGAGAAGGGUCAUUGAGGAUAAAAUGCUGCUUGGAGCGUUUUUAUCCUUUACUCAUUUAAGAACAUGUUUUCAGAUCCUAUGUUUCUGAGUCAGUUUUUGAAAAUGAUAUGUUUGUUUACCUACAUUAAAUUAGAUGAUGCUGUGAUACCAUUCUUUCCCAAACAAAUAUGUUUCCUUCAGAGAUAACUAGUUCAGCCGAUCCCCAGGUUCAAUGAGUCACUAAGAGGACUUACGGGACUCAGCCUACUAUCAUGUAACGCUCAUGGCUAUGAUUUAUUCCAGCAAAAAGAUAACAAGCACAAUCAGCAAAGAGAAAAGGCAUCUGGGGUGAAGUCUGGGGAAAACCAGGCACAAGCUUCUAAGGCUCCUCUGUCAGUAAAAUCACAAAGGAUAAAUUAACCCCCCAGCAAGAGUUCUGUAUGUGAAAACAAGUGUGAAAUGUUGCCAACCAAGGGAGCUCGUUAGACAGGGUUUCUAACGGAGCCUGGUCAUGUAGGCAGCCCCAAGCCAGCACAUAUGGAAAUUCUGGCUACCCAGAAGAAAGCAGGUGUUCAGCACAAACUACAUUGUUUGCACAAACAGUCUGGCACAAUGAACCACUCUUAUCAGUUAAUGGUGGGAACCCUCGCAAAAAUCUCAGUUCUCUCCCAGACACCAGCCAAGGGCCAACCUUGCAAGCCGGCCUUUUCACGGGCAGUAGUUGGGGACUGCUAGGUUAAUUAUUUUCUGCACAACAUCAUCAACAGAGUGUCAAUAAUCAUGAUAGUGACAUUUACAAGUUUGAUGGGGUUCUUUUCCCCCAAAACUGAUGUCUAGUCCCUUUCUUUAUCAUGAAAUUAACAUUUAUGGAGCCCUUACCACAUGCCAGGCACAUGGUUUAAAACUUUUAAUAUUUACAGUAAAUGGGUCCUGUUUCUGUCACAGUUUUACUGAUGAGAACAUUUAGAUCCAGGUGAAUGAGUUAAGUAACUUACCCAAAAUCUCACAACUAAUAAUUUGUAGUGCUGGGAUUACCACGAGGGCCUAACUCUAGAGUAGGCACUGGGGAAGUUCUCAACAGUUUCACCAUACACCUUCCCUUUCUUUUCUUUUCUUUCUUUUCUUUCUUUUUUUAAAAAAUAUGGUCAUCAAAAGCAAUUACACAUUCACACACACACACACACACACACACACACACACCCCAUAUCUCCCCAUUUUGUAUGGACAGAACACAAAUACAACCAGGUAUAUAACAUGGUGCAGAUUGGCCUUCCAAUAUGUGUUGAGAUGAAUGAGUAAUGAAGCACAACAUCUGAAUGUCUAUCAUUUAAGUCCUGCAUCCUUAAAAUAUCAACAUCAUGUCAACUCCUGAAACUCAGUAGAAGGACCCUAAUGAAAGAAAACCUAGGCAAGCCUCACCGAUAAGUGCUUUAGUUACCUGUCCAUUUGGACCUGUUUUGUUGUUGUUGUUGUUGUGGUUGUUUUGUUUUUUUUUUUUUUAGUAUCUUUUGAAAUUGAGAAAACUGAAUGUCGUAUUUGAAAUAAUGCACAUAUUCAUCACCAACAAUUUUUUUGAGUCCUUACAAUGUGCAGAGCACAGAAUUACUGCUCUCUUUUCAGAGAUGUGUCAUCAGCAGCUCUGUUGGAACUACCCUAGAAAAUUUGGCCAAGGUUCUUGCUCUUGCUGUGUCUGGUCAAACCAGCAGGUUUGAUCUGGGAAUAUAACCUCAAUACGUGCCACCCGUGUUUUCAUCAGAAGGGAAGGGAUAUAGCCUUCAUCAAGUUGGACUAAAUGAUCUUCCCUGAAUGGAUUAUCCAAGACAGCUGCUCAACAAAAGAAACCACUGCUAGCUCUCUGCACAUAAAAUAAAUUUUUUUAAACUUCAAAAAAAUUAAAAUAAAAUAAAGCCAAGAGCCAUGAACAAUUGAAAGCAUCUGAUGCCUGCCUGGUGUUCCCGGUUCCCGCUGGAGCUCAGCUUCAGCCCAGGUGAGGCCAGACACUGUUGUCAUACAACAGGCUUAGCCAAACAUGUGGAUUUGAUUUGUCAGAAAGUCAAAUUGGGGACUCCAGUGCCCUUUGAAAGAUGUAAUCUGCUCCAGAGACCUUGCAAAGGGCAUGGCUGACCUUGCAUCUGUUGUGAAAGUGGUAAUACCCUCAAGGCAGGGAGGAAAGCAAGUUUUGACACAGCAGAAUUGAGAAGCACGAAGCUGCCAGGAAACCAGAGGCAGAAAUUUCUUCUUUGCAAUUGAUUCUUUCAGGACGCUAUCCCAAGUUUCUGCCAUUUCAGUUCCUGUUAUCAUGCUUCGAGGUGCACUGAACUGCAGCAAACCCAGGGGAUCCAAAGCUAUGUUGAAAAGCCUUUGACCGCAGUGCAGGGAGCAGAAGACAUUAAUGACGUGAUGUCGACACAGCCCGCACUCAGGAUCCUCCAGGAGAAGAACACAGAGAUAACCCCGGAUCAAUGGUACUUUUUGAAAAUGCUUUACUGUGAAAGAGUGGCUAGGGUUUUACAAGGGCUAUGAAGAAACAUAUUUAGGUUAAUAAAGCUUUUUAUUGAGUGUUUA